rnacentral:misc_RNA from 1 species
CUAGUCGUAUCUUGUUUUUCUUUAUCUAACUUGCUUAACAUUUUUCAUGCAUAAAGUGAUUAUUAAUUUCAUUCUCGCGAAAGGGUGUGCCUUUAACUAGUGCCGCACAGAAUUUUGAGCAAGCAAGAAAAAGACUUAGAAGGAUAUUUGUUAUCAACUCACCUCAUGAAGCUGCAACAAUUUGAUUGGUUAUUUGUAAUAAAUGCUAAAGUUUUCCUAAUCUUAAUGAACUUAGUACCGCUGCUGCUUCCAUUCACAUUUUCCACAUGUUAUACGGGCGCUGCUAAUCUCCUUAAUCAUAUUAUUCUUCGUUAUCUUUUGCUGCCUUUCUGUUCUCAGAUUCAUAUCUAGUUCCUACCAUUGUCAAUAACUUGUGAUUGCUUAAUGAACUUUGGAAAAAGAGUUAUUUCCCACCAUAUAUGAUAGAAGUCUAGUUUGGCCUCGCUUGUAUUUUGACUGCUCCUUCCUUCAUUCUAUUUAUUAGUAGGAG